AUACCUUUCUCGGCCUUUUGGCUAAGAUCAAGUGUAGUAUCUGUUCUUAUCAGUUUAAUAUCUGAUAUGUGGGCCAUUGGCUCACACGAUAUUAAAUUUAUUUUUUUAGGGGGAAGAUCCAUUAAGGCAGCUUGCUGUCUGGGUCUUUGAGCGUUGCCCAUGUGUUGCACUACUGCACGGGCCUGGCGCACCCCAC
rnacentral:snRNA from 1 species